GUUUGACAGGAGCUAGAUGGGAAUUCACAUAAAGUCUGCUAGCCAUCCUGGACACUGACCCCCCCUGCCACUGGGCCUCAGGCAUCACCAUAAUGUCUGUAAUAACAGUGAAGGCCACAGUGCUACACACCUCUCCCUUCUUGGCAGGGUUUCUCCAGCAUUCUUCAAGUUUGUCAAAAGUCAAAGACAAUUUGCAUAGUUAAUUGCCAGAUAUUUGAGGGCAUGAUGGAAAGUGAAAGAGAUUCCUGGCAUCCAACUUUCUCCACUCACAAGAAGAUUACUGCAGCUCAGGUCCUUGAACUAAAUUCACCUGGACUAUUGUAACGAUAUCCUUAUUUCAAGACUCUCCCUUCUCUGACCAUUCUUCCUCAUUUAUAUGGUCAACAAUCU